rnacentral:rRNA from 1 species
AACGAACGCUGGCGGCAGGCUUAACACAUGCAAGUCGAACGGGUGUAGCAAUACAUCAGUGGCAGACGGGUGAGUAACACGUGGGAACCUUCCUGGGGGUACGGAACAACUCAGGGAAACUUGAGCUAAUACCGUAUACGUCCGUGAGGAGAAAGAUUUAUCGCCCUUAGACGGGCCCGCGUCGGAUUAGCUAGUUGGUGGGGUAACGGCCUACCAAGGCGACGAUCCGUAGCUGAUCUUAGAGGAUGAUCAGCCACACUGGGACUGAGACACGGCCCAGACUCCUACGGGAGGCAGCAGUGGGGAAUCUUGGACAAUGGGCGCAAGCCUGAUCCAGCCAUGCCGCGUGAGUGAAGAAGGUCUUCGGAUUGUAAAGCUCUUUUGCCAGGGACGAUAAUGACGGUACCUGGAGAAUAAGCCCCGGCAAACUUCGUGCCAGCCGCCGCAGUAACAC